CUGAAUGAAAUAAUAUAUACUGUUACUGUCAAUUAUUAGUCUAUUGAAAUAUAAUGUAUUUUGUAUAAGAUUAAAAAAUAAUUUGAUUUAAAACAAAUACAUUUUCAGGAACUACAAUCCAGUUGUCAUGCUGUGCACUACAAACAAUCAGUACGAAGAUAAGUAUUCUACUGAAUACAUCCAUACAUGUUUUAAUUUGAUCCAUUCAUUGUUUCAUUUGGUCAAAAUUUUAGGAAUUUAAACUAUGAUGACUUAACAGAAUUUCCAUGUUAUUGUUUUUAUUACCUUUUUGUCUGCAAAUAUGAUUUCCAAACUUUCACCAAGCCCAGCAUUGGAUGGUUUCCAGGUGUGGUGACUUUGGCUUCGACCAGGGCCGGCCCAGAAAGUUUGGAGGCCCAAGACCAUUUAGUAAAGAUUUAAAAAAUUGGGAGGCCUAAAAAUUUUUUUUUUACAAAUUGGGGGCCUAUUUACAUAUAAAGAUUUUCAAAAAUUUUGGGGGCCCUAGGCGAAUGUUUCAUUGGGCUUGGUCCAGGGCCGGCCCUGGCUUCGACCAACCCGUCUUCCAUUGCCUAAUCUUAUCAAGGUAAACCAUCUUUUACUUGGAAGACAUAUUAUGAGAAACGUUUUGAGAAAAUGUGUGUUGCUUUGAGGUUAAAAGACAGUAUAUAUAAGAAAAAUAAAGGUCGUGGAUUUAGGUUUUCCUAUUCAAUACAGUUAAAGAAUAUAUGCAGUUAGUUUAGUAAAUUAAUGGGAAAUUGGAUUUUUGGGUAUAUUAUAAUAGAUAUUUUCGUUACCAAAAUUCGUGGUUUCUUGUUUUGAUUUUCUCUUAUUGAUAUGUUGAAGAUAUGCAAGUACAAUGAUUGGCCGGAUAUUUAUGAUUUAGUUAUUCUUAUUGUUUUGUAUAUAUAUUUUUCCAAAUGAAUUUACUUGCCGAUUUUUUUGCUUUUGGUUAUGUAUAUAUCUUAUUUUUUAAUAAUUGCAUUUGAAACAGAUUUGCAAAUACAAUAAUUUGGCCAGUAUGUUUCAAAGUGGUUUAAUCCCGUAUUUUUCUCAAAAUAUGGGUAUUUUGUAUAGAAAAAGUUUAUUCCAUAGAUGGUACUUUUAAACCCAAUUGUUAGUUUUUUUACUUAAAUUAAUAAAUAAAUGCAUGAAAAAGGGGUUUAGGGGUUCUUCUGUAUCUCAAUCUAUACAUCUAAAAAUGCAACCAUACAAAUAUAUAAACAUGAGUAUUUCAACCAUUCAUAACGCCGACCAUACAUAUAUUGUUUAAUGGUGAAGCUUGCACCAAAUUGAAUUCUGGUAGUAAAAUAAACAUGUAAUCGUUGAUGGUACUUGAUGUUCUGAAUUUAAAUGUACAAUUUGACCUUUUUGUCUCCAAAUAUGAUUUCCAAACUCUCACCAAGCCCAGCAUUGGAUGGUUUCCAGGUGUGGUGACUUUGGCUUCGACCAACCCGUCUUCCAUGGCCUAAUCUCAUCAAGGUAAAC
rnacentral:lncRNA from 1 species